AGUGGCGGACGGGUGAGUAACGCGUGAGAAUCUGCCUUGGGGUCGGGGACAACCACUGGAAACGGUGGCUAAUACCGGAUAAGCCGAUUGGUGAAAGAUUUAUUGCCCGAAGAGGAGCUCGCGUCUGAUUAGCUAGUUGGUGAGGUAAGAGCUCACCAAGGCAGCGAUCAGUAGCUGGUCUGAGAGGACGAUCAGCCACACUGGGACUGAGACACGGCCCAGACUCCUACGGGAGGCAGCAGUGGGGAAUUUUCCGCAAUGGGCGAAAGCCUGACGGAGCAAGACCGCGUGAGGGAGGAAGGCUCUUGGGUUGUAAACCUCUUUUCUCAGGGAAGAAGCUCUGACGGUACCUGAGGAAUCAGCCUCGGCUAACUCCGUGCCAGCAGCCGCGGUAAUACGGAGGAGGCAAGCGUUAUCCGGAAUUAUUGGGCGUAAAGCGUCCGCAGGUGGCGAUUCAAGUCUGCUGUCAAAGCACGGGCUUAACUCCGUAAAGGCAGUGGAAACUGAAUAGCUAGAGUGCCGUAGGGGUAGAGGGAAUUCCCGGUGUAGCGGUGAAAUGCGUAGAGAUCGGGAAGAACAUCGGUGGCGAAAGCGCUCUACUGGACGGCAACUGACACUCAGGGACGAAAGCUAGGGGAGCGAAUGGGAUUAGAUACCCC
rnacentral:rRNA from 1 species